AUUGAACGCUGGCGGCAGGCCUAACACAUGCAAGUCGAACGAGUGGCGGACGGGUGCGUAAUGUCUGGGCAACUGCCUGAUGGAGGGGGAUAACAACUGGAAACGGUAGCUAAUACCGUAUACCACCAGAUGUGCCCAGAUGGGCUGAGCUUGUUGGUGGGGUAACGGCUCACCAAGGCGACGAUCCCUAGCUGGUCUGAGAGGAUGACCAGCCACGCUGGAACUGAGACACGGUCCAGACUCCUCCGGGAGGCAGUAGUGGGGAAUAUGGCACAAUGGGCGCAAGCCUGAUGCAGCCAUUCCGCGUGUAUGAAGAAGGCCUUCGGGUUGUAAAGUACUUUCAGCGGGGAGGCUUUACCCGCAGAAGAAGCACCGGCUAACUCCGUGCCAGCAGCCGCGGUAAUUC
rnacentral:rRNA from 1 species